GAUCGGAUCAAGCGCGAUAAGGGCGUUUGGUGGAUGCCUUGGCAGCAAGAGGCGAUGAAGGACGUGGCACUCUGCGAUAAGCCCGGGGGAGGCGAGAGCACCCUUUGAUCCCGGGAUGUCCGAAUGGGGAAACCCACCUGACACUGCGUUAUUGACUGGCUUCGUCAGUCAAUAACGGGGUGAACCAGGUACUUUCGACCUGAACACAUAGGGUUGAAAGAGCGAACGCGGGGAACUGAAACAUCUCAGUACCCGUAGGAAAGGAAAUCAAUCGAUACUCCCCCAGUAGCGGCGAGCGAACGGGGACCAGCCGAGCCCAAGACGUGAGCAGAACCGGAUGGAAAGCCGGGCGAGACGGGUGACAGCCCCGUAUGCGAAGCGUCGCGGGACGUAUCAAGUAGGGCGGGACACGUGAAAUCCUGUUCGAAGAUGGGGGGACCACCCUCCAAGGCUAAGUACUCCUUGCUGACCGAUAGCGAACCAGUACCGUGAGGGAAAGGUGAAAAGCACCCCGACAAGGGGAGUGAAACAGUCCCUGAAACCGGACGCCUACAAACAGUCGGAGCCUGGCGGCGAUCUUCGGAUCAUCGGGCGGGUGACGGCGUACCUUUUGUAUAAUGGGUCAACGACUUGGUCUCACGAGCAAGCUUAAGCCGACAGGUGUAGGCGCAGCGAAAGCGAGUCUUAAUAGGGCGUUCAGUUCGUGGGAUCAGACCCGAAACCGAGUGAUCUAGGCAUGUCCAGGAUGAAGGUGCGGUAACACGCACUGGAGGUCCGAACCCACACCUGUUGAAAAAGGUCGGGAUGAGGUGUGCCUAGGGGUGAAAGGCCAAUCAAACUCGGAGAUAGCUGGUUCUCCGCGAAAACUAUUUAGGUAGUGCGUCAGACGGACACCCUCGGGGGUAGAGCACUGGAUGGGUAAUGGGGACCCACAGUCUUACUGAUCCUAACCAAACUCCGAAUACCGAGGCGUGAUAUCUGGCAGACACACGGCGGGUGCUAACGUCCGUCGUGGAGAGGGAAACAACCCUGACCUGCAGCUAAGGCCCCCAAUUCAUGGCUAAGUGGGAAAGCAUGUGGGACGACCAAAACAACCAGGAUGUUGGCUUAGAAGCAGCCAUCAUUUAAAGAAAGCGUAACAGCUCACUGGUCUAGACAAGUUGUCCUGCGGCGAAGAUGUACCGGGGCUCAAGCCAUGAGCCGAAGCUCGGGGUGUACCCUUCGGGGUGCGCGGUAGCGGAGCGUUCCGUGAUAUAAUUCCAUGUCUCUUCAGCAUCGCCGUUCAGCAAUGGGCGGAUGUUGCGGAGACGCGGGAUUUACUGUGAAGCCGGCCUGUGAGGGAUCCGGUGGAGUGAUCGGAAGCGAGAAUGUUGACAUGAGUAGCGACAAAGCGGGUGAGAGACCCGCUCGCCGAAAGUCCAAGGGUUCCUGCUUAAAGCUAAUCUGAGCAGGGUGAGCCGACCCCUAAGGCGAGGCCGAAAGGCGUAGUCGAUGGGAAUCUGGUUAAUAUUCCAGAGCCAGGAGGAAGUGACGGAUCGCGGCUGUUGUCUGAUCUUAUCGGAUUGAUCAGGCCUCGAAGUGGUUCCAGGAAAUAGCCCUCCAUAAGAUCGUACCCGAAACCGACACAGGUGGACUGGUAGAGCAUACCAAGGCGCUUGAGAGAACUGCAUUGAAGGAACUCGGCAAAAUGCCUCCGUAACUUCGGAAGAAGGAGGCCCCGUUGGCGCGCAAGCGUUGGCGGGGGGCACAGACCAGGGGGUGGCGACUGUUUACUAAAAACACAGGACUCUGCGAAGCCGCAAGGCGACGUAUAGGGUCUGACGCCUGCCCGGUGCCGGAAGGUUAAAAGGAGAUGUGCAAGCAUUGAAUUGAAGCCCCGGUAAACGGCGGCCGUAACUAUAACGGUCCUAAGGUAGCGAAAUUCCUUGUCGGGUAAGUUCCGACCUGCACGAAUGGCGUAACGACUUCCCCGCUGUCUCCAAUGCAGACUCAGCGAAAUUGAAUUCCCCGUGAAGAUGCGGGGUUCCCGCGGUCAGACGGAAAGACCCCGUGCACCUUUACUACAGCUUCACACUGGCAUCAGGCGCGCAAUGUGCAGGAUAGGUGGUAGGCUUCGAAGCGGGGACGCCAGUUCCCGUGGAGCCACCCUUGAGAUACCACCCUUUGUUCGCUUGAUGUCUAACCGCGGACCGUUAUCCGGUUCCGGGACCCUGUGUGGCGGGUAGUUUGACUGGGGCGGUCGCCUCCCAAAUAGUAACGGAGGCGCGCGAUGGUGGGCUCAGAGCGGUCGGAAAUCGCUCGUCGAGUGCAAUGGCAUAAGCCCGCCUGACUGCGAGACUGACAAGUCGAGCAGAGUCGAAAGACGGCCAUAGUGAUCCGGUGGUCCCGCGUGGAAGGGCCAUCGCUCAACGGAUAAAAGGUACGCCGGGGAUAACAGGCUGAUACUGCCCAAGAGUCCAUAUCGACGGCAGUGUUUGGCACCUCGAUGUCGGCUCAUCACAUCCUGGGGCUGGAGAAGGUCCCAAGGGUACGGCUGUUCGCCGUUUAAAGUGGUACGUGAGCUGGGUUUAGAACGUCGUGAGACAGUUCGGUCCCUAUCUGCCGUGGGUGUAGGAGACUUGAGAGGAGUUGCCCCUAGUACGAGAGGACCGGGGUGAACGCACCACUGGUGGACCUGUUGUCGUGCCAACGGCAGUGCAGGGUAGCUAUGUGCGGACAGGAUAACCGCUGAAGGCAUCUAAGCGGGAAGCCCCCCUCGAAACCAGGUCUCCCUUGAGGGCCGUGGAAGACCACCACGUCGAUAGGCCGGAGAUGUAAGCGCGGCAACGCGUUCAGUUGACCGGUACUAAUCGCCCGAGAGGCUUAGAUCCGAUCCGG
rnacentral:rRNA from 1 species